GGUAGCAUAAUCAUUAGUCUCCUAAUUAGAGGCUUGUAUGAAUGGUUGGACAAGAUGGGAACUGUCUCGGUACAAUAAAUAAAAUUUAAUAUUUAAGUAAAAAAGCUUAAAUGUAGUAGAGGGACGAUAAGACCCUAUAAAGCUUUAUAGUAUCUUUCUCGUAUGUGAAUUGUUUGAAGUAUUAAUUUGUUAGAGGAAAUAUAUUAUUUUACUGGGGCGGUAAGAGUAUAUUAAGGAGUAACUGCUUUUGUCUUGAACAACAAGUGUUCUUGGUGAUAAAUUGAUCCACUAUUGGUGAUUAUAAGAACAAGUUACUUUAGGGAUAACAGCGUAAUUUUUCUUGAGAGUUCUUAUCGAAAGAAAAGUUUGCGACCUCGAUGUUGAAUUAAGGAUUACCUUAAGGUGCAGCAGUUUUAAAGGUAGAUCUGUUCGAUCUUUAAAUCUUUACAUGAUUUGAGUUCAAACCGGA
rnacentral:rRNA from 1 species